GGGGAUUUAGCUUAGUGGUAGAGCGCUUGCCUAGCAAGCUCAAGGCCCUGGGUUCAGUCCCCA
rnacentral:tRNA from 1 species